AGCGGCGGGCAUGCGGAGUGCAGGCGGGCAGCAGCGGCCCUGCCUCCGCCCUCACCUGCAGUCAGCUCCGGGGGAUCCCCCCCCCGCGGUUUAGCGGGGUUUUUGGGGGAGCCCCUGACCUCGCUGGCAACCGGUUCGGUCCCGGAGAGCACGGAGGGGGAGGCAGGAACCAGCUCGGGCUGAUUGCAUUGUUCAGGACAGCGGCAUCCUGCUGAUAAGGUUGUGUAUCGCUGCAGCUCGCACGCCGGGCGCACCUGUCUCCUCCAGCCCUCCAAGAGAUAAACGCGGGGCGCCGCUGACAACUUCACCAUCCCCUCCCUGCUGCUGUGGGAAACAGCCCAAGGGUUGUUUUGGGAGAAGGCCAAAGAGCGAGCUCAGCUCCCGAGCAGAUCCCCCAAAGCCAGCGGGAGCUCUGCCACCAAGUUCAGGUAGAGCGAUGAGCAUCUCGGUUCACCACAGGCGUGUUAAUUUUGGAGGUGGUCUGUCCAGGAUCCACAAAGUCUGCAUGAUUGGAUUCUAACAGAUGAGCACACGGAGCUGAACCAUUCUGCAACCCUUCAAAGUGUGUUCUGCUACAAACUGAGGAUCCUGGGGCAUGCUAUUCAGGAUAAGGUUUAAAGGAACGGUUCCCUCUGGGAAAGAGGAUUCAGGCCAGCCAGUGUCCUCUGCUGUCACUACAUGCCACUCACCGUACAGUCCCGGACCAUUUACUGGAAACCAAAGAAUACCAGAAUUGCCACUAUCUCAUCUUCCAACAAGGCAGAGCUCUCAGGUUUUUCUGAAGUACAAUGACUGCCCAAUAAUUGUGUUAUUCACACAAAGUGUCUUAGCCAAUUUUCACAUCAUGUUUCAGAUUACUUACUAGAAAGACAAUACUCGGAAACUGGAGCAACGUGCACAGAUGUGUGCUGCCGUACGUGAUGGCUCUGCCCUGAGCAAUCUGCUACCAGAACUGAAGAUAGAUUAAACACGUUCUAAGUACCUAUGAUAAAGAAAUAUAAAUACAUGGUUGCAUUUAGGUAAGAGUGGUUACUAAUUCACCUGUAAAAAAGCAUAACGAGCAGUAUUAACCAUAAUCAACUGUCUUUCCAAGUCCAUACAACGAAGCUUUGACAACAGAAAAAAGACCACUUGCAGCAUUUAAACACAGAAGGAUUAAAAAAAAGUUUUUACACA